GAAGGGCGUGCUAAUCUGCGAUAAGCGCCGGUAAGGUGAUAUGAACCGUUAUAACCGGCGAUACCCGAAUGGGGAAACCCAGUGUGAUUCGUCACACUAUCAUUAACUGAAUCCAUAGGUUAAUGAGGCGAACCGGGGGAACUGAAACAUCUAAGUACCCCGAGGAAAAGAAAUCAACCGAGAUUCCCCCAGUAGCGGCGAGCGAACGGGGAGGAGCCCAGAGCCUGAAUCAGCAUGUGUGUUAGUGGAAGCGUCUGGAAAGGCGCGCGAUACAGGGUGACAGCCCCGUACACAAAAGCGCAUGUGCUGUGAGCUCGAUGAGUAGGGCGGGACACGUGGUAUCCUGUCUGAAUAUGGGGGGACCAUCCUCCAAGGCUAAAUACUCCUGACUGACCGAUAGUGAACCAGUACCGUGAGGGAAAGGCGAAAAGAACCCCGGCGAGGGGAGUGAAAAAGAACCUGAAACCGUGUACGUACAAGCAGUGGGAGCACCCUUUGGG
rnacentral:rRNA from 1 species